rnacentral:lncRNA from 8 species
GAUUCUAUGCUUGCUUGGACUUACAGAGCAAUUCUGCAUGCUACAAGAUUCAGUUCUUGGCCCAAAACCCUCUGAUGUGGAUGCUGAGAGAGGUAUGGAGAAAGAAGAGGAGGAGGAGCGAGGGAUCCUAUAUGAUGGAAGGAUUAAGAAAGAGUGGACGGAGGAGAACGAGGUUGGGUUGCUGCCAGGGUUCUAUCACGUGGCAGGGAACUACCACCCGCCUGCCCUGCCACUUCGCAGCAUUAUCACAGCUUUGCCAAGCGAGAGGAGUAUGUCCAAUCAGAAUGUGACCUUGAACACCCUUUGACCCCUCAUGUUACCUCCUUCUGACUUCUGUAACCUCAUUUGUUAUGCCAAUACGAAAUCACCCCCUCAUCACUAGCCCUAUGGAAAGUGUUUAUAUCUGAGAGGAUUUUAAGAUACAAGCCAUAUGGCUGAAAUGUCAUCUGGCCUAUGAGAGGGCAAGUUGGUGAAAUGAUCUGCUUGUAACUAACCAAUACAUUAAGAUCUAGGCAGUGUUUUUUGGCCUAUAUGCCAGGUUCAGUAACGAAGUCUAUCCUUCAUUUUUACCCCAUAACAACUCCUCUGUUUGUUGCAAAUGACAUAGCGAUAGGUGCUUGAGCUACAUAACCACCGAGGUACAACACAUGUAGCUUCUAUGAAAUAUAACUGUGAUACAUGUAUGAAUACAUUAGUAUGUUCUUGUAUUGAUGCUGAUAGAAAGGUGGGCCAUAUUUAUACUCAUUGACAAGAGAAAUGGGUAAAAAAAUAAAGAGCUCUUGGACGUGAUGCAUAGCAGCUAUAUUACUUCAUGUGUAGACACACACACACACACACACACACACACACACACACACACACACACACACACACAGGUUCCAGGUUUAUGUGUUAGCAACAGUGUUUUUCCCAUUACGUAAUAACUUGUGUUACUGUAAUGUGUUUUUGAAAUAAACAUACUUUUACAUUCCUGUUAUGAAGUUGGUUAGAGGAUUUCUUCAGUAAAGAACUGACCGUUCGGAUUGUGUUGUGUCAUCUACUUAUCCUUAUCCCUCUUAUCCAUUACUAAUGCCUGACAGGUGUAAAGGUUGGGUCAGGGACAAUUUAAAAUGUACAGGAUUAUAUUAGUCACUUAGUAUGAGACAGGAGAGGGGUUAAAUUAGGAGUAAGAGUUUUGUUACAGAAGUUGAGAUAGAGUUAUAGAUCUUUAUGCUGAUAGAUGUGUAACUUCUGCAUUUUCUAAAUGCAAAAUAUUGAAUUGAAAUCCAGACGGUGACAUCACACUAGUGUUGUGUACCUGUAAGUGACUGAGUGACUAGGCGGCUAUGAGUCGAUGAUUCGGUGGCUAUGAGUCGAUGACUCGGUGGCUAUGAGUCGACGACUCGGUGGCUAUGAGUCGAUGACUCGGUGGCCCAAACCUCUGAGUCACUCUUUCCCCAGGUGAUAAACCCAGUUAAGAGCGGCCAUCUGAUAUCACUAAGCUGGUCUCACCUGCGUCCUUCCACCUGUAUGUCCACAAGCAGGACAGACAAUUAACAGUUGGAAGUUUCUCCAAGACAACGCAAGAUUCAGCAUACGACAUAUGGAUAAAGACAUGGUCUGCUGUAGAUACUGAGGGUUUUUUACCUAAUAAACUGAAGUAAAGAUCCACCUCACUGUCACUGAUCUGCUACCCGAAGAGCCUGAGUAGUAAGGACAGACACACACAGCCAGUUCUGCUGGUAUGUACUAUACCGUAACACCCAAAGACUCUACAGGGUCUUGCUUUUCCAUCAUGGAAGUCAACAAGUGUUUUACAAAUAUGUCUCUUUCUGUGAGACAGAUAUUUAGUGGCUGACACAGUCAACUCCAAUGUCAUGCCCUGUCUUUCCCCAAAUGUAUAAGUUAGAUUCUUCAAUAAUCAAUGGUUACAUAUCAUUAACUUAUAAAUGCAAAAAUGGAUGUAGCUACUUCUGAUUGCCCCUUUAACGUAUGCUAAUGUUAUUUGUCUAUUGAUCUUGUGCAUGAGGCAAAGGCAUGCAAUCACAAGCCUUUCAUGUGAAUCAUCUUCUUGUUUCAUUGGAAAUUGUAAAAACACCUUAAUAACCCUGUAAUUGACUAUGUAUUUUUGUAAUCCUGUUUCUAUGAUUUGUUUCCACUACCAUGUAGUCGGGUCGCUUUGUAUAAAGGCGUCUGCUAAAUGGCAUAUAUUAUUAAAGUCUCCUUUGACAACUAACUGCCCAGUGUAGUUACCAUUCCUUUCCAAUAGAUAGCAGCCAAAGCUUGUUGAAGUCACUACUCUAGCAACAGGGACACCGGGUUAGUGUGCA